GGGGUAGAAUUCCAGGUGUAGCGGUGAAAUGCGUAGAGAUCUGGAGGAAUACCGGUGGCGAAGGCGGCCCCCUGGACGAAGACUGACGCUCAGGUGCGAAAGCGUGGGGAGCAAACAGGAUUAGAUACCCUGGUAGUCCACGCCGUAAACGAUGUCGACUUGGAGGUUGUGCCCUUGAGGCGUGGCUUCCGGAGCUAACGCGUUAAGUCGACCGCCUGGGGAGUACGGCCGCAAGGUUAAAACUCAAAUGAAUUGACGGGGGCCCGCACAAGCGGUGGAGCAUGUGGUUUAAUUCGAUGCAACGCGAAGAACCUUACCUGGUCUUGACAUCCACGGAAGUUUUCAGAGAUGAGAAUGUGCCUUCGGGAACCGUGAGACAGGUGCUGCAUGGCUGUCGUCAGCUCGUGUUGUGAAAUGUUGGGUUAAGUCCCGCAACGAGCGCAACCCUUAUCCUUUGUUGCCAGCGGUCCGGCCGGGAACUCAAAGGAGACUGCCAGUGAUAAACUGGAGGAAGGUGGGGAUGACGUCAAGUCAUCAUGGCCCUUACGACCAGGGCUACACACGUGCUACAAUGGCGCAUACAAAGAGAAGCGACCUCGCGAGAGCAAGCGGACCUCAUAAAGUGCGUCGUAGUCCGGAUUGGAGUCUGCAACUCGACUCCAUGAAGUCGGAAUCGCUAGUAAUCGUGGAUCAGAAUGCCACGGUGAAUACGUUCCCGGGCCUUGUACACACCGCCCGUCACACCAUGGGAGUGGGUUGCAAAAGAAGUAGGUAGCUUAACCUUCGGGAGGGCGCUUACCACUUUGUGAUUCAUGACUGGGGUGAAGUCGUAACAAGGUAACCGUAGGGGAACCUGCGGUUGGAUCACCUCCUUACCUUAAAGAAGC
rnacentral:rRNA from 1 species